rnacentral:rRNA from 1 species
GACGAACGUUGGCGGCGUGCUUAACACAUGCAAGUCGAACGGAAAGGCCCUGCUUUUGUGGGGUGCUCGAGUGGCGAACGGGUGAGUAACACGUGAGUAACCUGCCCUUGACUUUGGGAUAACUUCAGGAAACUGGGGCUAAUACCGGAUAGGAGCUCCUGCUGCAUGGUGGGGGUUGGAAAGUUUCGGCGGUUGGGGAUGGACUCGCGGCUUAUCAGCUUGUUGGUGGGGUAGUGGCUUACCAAGGCUUUGACGGGUAGCCGGCCUGAGAGGGUGACCGGCCACAUUGGGACUGAGAUACGGCCCAGACUCCUACGGGAGGCAGCAGUGGGGAAUAUUGCACAAUGGGCGGAAGCCUGAUGCAGCAACGCCGCGUGCGGGAUGACGGCCUUCGGGUUGUAAACCGCUUUCGCCUGUGACGAAGCGUGAGUGACGGUAAUGGGUAAAGAAGCACCGGCUAACUACGUGCCAGCAGCCGCGGUGAUACGUAGGGUGCGAGCGUUGUCCGGAUUUAUUGGGCGUAAAGGGCUCGUAGGUGGUUGAUCGCGUCGGAAGUGUAAUCUUGGGGCUUAACCCUGAGCGUGCUUUCGAUACGGGUUGACUUGAGGAAGGUAGGGGAGAAUGGAAUUCCUGGUGGAGCGGUGGAAUGCGCAGAUAUCAGGAGGAACACCAGUGGCGAAGGCGGUUCUCUGGGCCUUUCCUGACGCUGAGGAGCGAAAGCGUGGGGAGCGAACAGGCUUAGAUACCCUGGUAGUCCACGCUGUAAACGGUGGGUACUAGGUGUGGGGUCCAUUCCACGGGUUCCGUGCCGUAGCUAACGCUUUAAGUACCCCGCCUGGGGAGUACGGCCGCAAGGCUAAAACUCAAAGGAAUUGACGGGGCCCCGCACAAGCGGCGGAGCAUGCGGAUUAAUUCGAUGCAACGCGUAGAACCUUACCUGGGUUUGACAUGGAUCGGGAGUGCUCAGAGAUGGGUGUGCCUCUUUUGGGGUCGGUUCACAGGUGGUGCAUGGCUGUCGUCAGCUCGUGUCGUGAGAUGUUGGGUUAAGUCCCGCAACGAGCGCAACCCUUGUUCACUGUUGCCAGCACGUUAUGGUGGGGACUCAGUGGAGACCGCCGGGGUCAACUCGGAGGAAGGUGGGGAUGACGUCAAGUCAUCAUGCCCCUUAUGUCCAGGGCUUCACGCAUGCUACAAUGGCUGGUACAGAGAGUGGCGAGCCUGUGAGGGUGAGCGAAUCUCGGAAAGCCGGUCUCAGUUCGGAUUGGGGUCUGCAACUCGACCUCAUGAAGUCGGAGUCGCUAGUAAUCGCAGAUCAGCAACGCUGCGGUGAAUACGUUCCCGGGGCU